UACACAGGAGGGAAUUGUGGACCAGGCCCUAUCUGGAAUGGCGCCUGGGAGUUUCCACGGUGACAGUAAACAAGCCUCAGCCUCCUCAGCUACAACUGCGGAGUUCCUCCUCUAGGUGCUCUGAGAGCUGGCGAGGUUCCGGGUGUGACUAGGAGCACAGAGACAAAGAGCCCGAGGUGAGGGCCGCUAACCCGGUGGGCUGAGGACUGUGCCCAUGGGAUGCUGAACCGCAGGCAUGGGAUUUGUAGCCCCGCUGAGUCCUGAGAGAGGGAGAAGUAAUUGGCCCCAGCGAGACAACAGUGUGUUUGCCCUGGAGAAAGGAGAGGAGGAACACUAGGAGAAACCUAUCCUGAGGAGGUCUAGCAGACACACUAUGCCCAGAGACCUAUGGCUGUCGUUUCUGGAAUCGGACUCAGGGUCUUGCACAUUCUUUGCAAGCACUCCCCCCACUGAGCUCUGAGCUCUGUUCCAAGCCCAGGACAAGAUAUGUUAGUACUGUUUUCUGAAAACAGUCAUACCUUUCUUGUUUCUUUGCGUUCUGAACUUUAUUUGUUUUUGUACAAAGGCCUAGCACGCGCCCAUCUAUAGGAACAGAAACUGCGUACUAGGUUCGUCCUCCAUUUCCGGAUCUGAUCUGGGACGGAUAUGACCCUCGCGGCUUGAGCCGACGCAGAAAGAGCGACAACCCAGGCGGAUUACUCAUCCUGCUUUCCCGCGUCCAACCAGGGAGAAGGAGCGGGAUCGGACGCGCAUGCGCUUUCCUAAGUUUGUGUAGUUCCGUUCCUCUGGUUUUUGUAAAAGUCACCUAGGGAGAAGAGGCUGAAUCACUUCCUCCAUUCUUUUACCUUGAGGCGCUGGGAAGGGAACCUCAGGGCCUCGCGAGCACUCCAGCCACUUUCUCGUUUCUGUUGCACCGUUCUGCUAGGCCAGCAUGUCGUAGCAUGUUAUUGUCAUCACUACUUCCGCCGCGAUCGCCAGCGCCACGUGGCUCCACUCCUAGGAGAACACGGCUGUCAAUCUGAUUUUCGUCCCCGGGGCCGCACGCGUCCUUUAGAACCUGGGCGCGGCUGUUUCUGCGCACGCGCAGCGAUGCUAACACCAUUGGCGGGAGGGUACAGCUCGCCCCCUGGCGAGCAGCGCCGGGAGCACAAACGACACUCAAUGAUACUCUUGCGCACGCGCAGUGCAAACUCGGCCCCAGCGCGGGAUCGCAGUUUGGCCCCUAGGAGAGGGCGCGCUGCGCAAUCAGCAGCCAAGGGUUUGUGCGCAAGGCACACGCGCCUCCCCAUGAAGGAAAGCUGCGCGUGGGUCGAACGGUGCGCAUCAUGCCACUCGCCUCCGCUGCGGGGUCUCCUCUACCUUGAGGUUUUUGGGUUUGUGGUGUCUCUGGGCUUUUGCGUCAUACUCCAUAAUGGAGGGCGCCAGACCUAGUGCGAGCUACUAAACUUAGGGGAUAGAACCGGAUAGCGGAAGUUCCUAGAGCAGGCUCCCGGAAGUGAUCCAGCAAGUUCCUAGUCCAGUAAACUUUAACUCUAGUUCCCCGGACCGCGAGAAGAGGUGUACGGGUGUGGAAAUGUGAGACCACAAGGGUUUCGUGGAGAACGCGCCCCUUCACAUUUUGCCCCUAUUCCUCUCUUAAGGUGUUGAUGUAGAAAGGGAGUUUACUCUGGAGCUACAUAUAAGUGACUGGCCCAGGAUGACAGAUUCGGGUCAUUUCAAAUUCCAUUUUUAAUGUAGUAAUGUUUUGAUCGAGUGAUUUAUAUAACGGAACCAAGUUAUAAAACAAGAAAGACACGUUUCAAAUCCUGUGUUCCUCACAUUCAAUGCUGACCCCCGAACCCUACCUUAGGGAGAGG
ensembl:lncRNA